AAUAAUUAGAAAGAGAUUGGGCUCGGAUUUAUUUUGCAUAGCCUAAUGCUAAUUAUUUUAAUAGCCCAAAACCAUUUAAAAUCAAAGGCCAAAAUUCUUUAAAAAUCAACAAGCCCAACAAAAAGGCCCAAAAUCAUUUAAUUCAUUAGCCCACAACUUAAGCCCAAUUAAAGAAACCAUAGGUUAAAGACCUAAGUCUUCUUCUUCCUCAUUUCACAAAUACGCAGCACCCUCUCCUCUCUCACUUUCUCUCUUCCUCUUCUCACGUUCAAAUCAGCCGCCGCAGCGGAUCCGCCUCGGUCACACAGAGCCGCAGCCGCUGCUGCUGGACGCCGACGCCGCCGCUGCUCUCCGCACGCUGCUGUACCGUCGAGAAGCGCCGCUGCUCCGUCGCCCGUCGGGUUCGGUCAGCGCCGGUGCCCCGAAACCACCCCAAAACGUCCCACAUCUAACCCGACAACCCCGCAAAAUCCUGAAACAACUCCGAUUCAACCCGAAACAGCCCCGCAGGUUGAGAAUGUUUUGCAAGAUUAUAAGGAUGUCUUCCCGAAUGAGCUACCCAACGAGCUUCCACCUGUGAGAGGGAUUGAGCACCAAAUUAAUUUCGUCCUGGGGUCCUCUCUUCGCAACCGGGCGGCAUACAAGGCAAACCCAAAGGAUACUCAAGGACUUCAAAAGCAAGUCGAUGGGCUCCUUCCCAAAGGUUUGAUCCGAGAAUUCCUUUCACCUUGUGCGGUACCAAUUAUUUUGGUGCCAAAAAAGGAUGGUAGUUAGAGAAUGUGUGUAGAUUGUAGGACCAUCAAUAAGAUCACUAUGUAUGAAAGAUCUUGAAUAGACAUGGUUACAGAAUGAAAGGCUGAAAAAAAUAGUUCGAAGAAGAA